GAUGAACGCUGGCGGCGUGCUUAAUACAUGCCAGUCGAACGGAAAGAUGCGGCGCUUGCUCCUCUGUCGUUUGCCGAGCGCGGGUGAGACACACGUGUAUACCCUACCUAUCAGUCUGGUAACUCUACGAAACACCGGCUCUAAUCCCAGAUAAUCUAUUGAACCACAUGGUUGGAUGGAAAGUGUCGGCGUUUCUGGAUGGAUUCGCGGGUUACCAGCUUGUUUGGCGGGUAGUGGCUUACCAGGGUUUUGAAGGGUAGCCGGCGUGAGAGGGUGACCGGCCACAUUGGGACUGAGAUACGGCCCAGACUGCUACGGGCGGCAGCAGUGGGGAAUAUUGCACAAUGGGCGGAAGCGUGAUGCAGAAACGCCGCGUGCGGAAUGACGGCCUUCGGGUUGUAAACAGAUUUCGACUGUGACGAAGCGUGAGUGACGGUAAUGGGUAAAGAAGCACCGGCUAACUACGUG
rnacentral:rRNA from 1 species